AGAGCUAAUUGGCAGAUUUGCUGCUUUUGGCCUGGGCUACAUUUAUUUGGGCUAAGCUCAUUAGGGUUUCUCUUAUAUACCUCACCCCCACUCUCUCCUCAGUCCUACACUCCCAACUCCAGCCUUUAGCUGCUGAGCUUGCUGCUCGUGCAUCUGCUGAGCUGCUGAGUCUCCUCCCUCCCUUCCAGUUCCAAUCCAAGCAGUCCCCCGCUGCCUGCUGCUUCCUCCUCCCUCUUCCCUACUACAACUGCAAGUCUACAACUAUAUACAUAUAUGAUAUAUAGUGCUACUAUAUGCUAGACGAUUAUAUGGACGAUUAGUUCGAUCAGAGGUCGAUUAAUCGUCCUGAUCG
rnacentral:lncRNA from 1 species